rnacentral:rRNA from 1 species
AUUUGUCUUUUAAUUGAAGACCGGUAUGAAUGGCUAAACGAGAAAUUGACUUUUUUUGUUAUAUAAAUUGAACUUAAUUUUUUAGUGAAAAAGCUAAAAUUUUUCAGAAAGACGAGAAGACCCUAUAGAGUUUUAUAUAUAAUAAAGUUUUUUCUAAUUAGAUUUUUCUAGAAUAAGUUUUUAAAUAUAUUUUGUUGGGGCGACAUUAAGAUAAAAGAAACUCUUUAUUUUAAAAAUUUUUAUAAAAAGAUGAUUUGACCCUUUAUAAGAGAUCAAAAGAAAAAAUUACCUUAGGGAUAACAGCGUAAUCUUUUUUAAGAGUUCUAAUCGACAAAAAGGUUUGCGACCUCGAUGUUGGACUAAAAUAUAAGCAGGGUGCAGCAGUUCUGCUAUAAGGUCUGUUCGACCUAUAAUAUUUUACACGAUCUGAGUUCAGACCGGCGUAAG